UACGUAGGUGGCAAGCGUUGUCCGGAUUUACUGGGCAUAAAGAGCGCGCAGGCGGUCGUGCAAGUCGCGUGUGAAAGCCCCCGGCUCAACUGGGGAGGGUCACGCGAUACUGCUCGACUUGAAGGCAGGAGAGGGAAGUGGAAUUCCCGGUGUAGUGGUGAAAUGCGUAGAUAUCGGGAGGAACACCAGUGGCGAAGGCGACUUCCUGGCCUGUUCUUGACGCUGAGGCGCGAAAGCUAGGGUAGCAAACGGG
rnacentral:rRNA from 1 species